GGGAGGCCGGGAGGGGUCCCUGGGCGGGGAGUUGCUGCGCAUCUGUUGUGUGUGUGCGUCUGUCUGUCUGUUCAGGUCUGUUUUAGGCUGUGUCUGCCUGUCUCUCUGUCUGGGUCUCUUUCAGGCUGCGUCGGUCUGUCUGUCUGGGUCUGUUUCAGGCUGUGUCUGUCUGUCUGUCUGGGUCUGUUUCAGGCUGUGUCUGGGUCUGUUUCAGGCUGUGUCUGUCUGUUUGUCUGGGUCUGUUUCAAUCUGUGUCUGUCUGUCUAGGUCUGUUUCAGGCUGUAUGUGUGUCUGCUCUUUGCUUCUGCUCCUGGCUCUGUGUGUAUUUCCCGG
rnacentral:lncRNA from 1 species